rnacentral:rRNA from 1 species
UACGUAGGCAGCGAGCGUUGUUCGGAAUUACUGGGCGUAAAGAGUGUGUAGGCGGUGCUCUAAGUUCGGUGUGAAAUCUCCUGGCUUAACUGGGAGGGUGCGCCGGAAACUGGAGUGCUCGAGCGUGGGAGAGGAAAGCGGAAUUCCUGGUGUAGCGGUGAAAUGCGCAGAUAUCAGGAGGAACACCGAUGGCGAAGGCAGGUCUCUGGGCCGAUACUGACGCUGAGGAGCGAAAGCGUGGGGAGCGAACAGG